GACGGUACACACCUUCUCUGUCUCUCUCUCUACACAGUCUCUCUCGUUCUCUAAACAAGCGAUUUCCCAAAUUAAAUCACUGUAAUAUAAGAGGUUUAAGGAGAUUAAAAUGAUGUAAGAUGGUCAUAUCCGUUAACGAUUCUCCCAAAUCCUUUAUCUUUUAUGUAAGGAAAUCAGAUUUCAACUCGUUUAAGGUAAUGUGUUUGAAUUAGUCUAUAAAUAGCCCUUUUUCUGAUAAAUACUCACUUCAAUACGUCUCCGAUUUCAAGUCGUUCGUGUAAUACCUUCCAAAAUGUUGUUGAUUUCACUAUUUUAAGGCGUGCAUGUGUGUGUAUUGGAUUGAUAUCAGUUUAAACCACUAAUUUUAGCCAUGAAUUUCACUGAUUUAGGUUUCGAUUUUGCUGUUUUAGCCAUUGAUUUCAUUGAUUUUAGGCGUGCAUCUGUGUGUAUUGGACGAAGAUCAGUUUAAAUCACUGAUUUUAGCUAUCGAUUCACUGCUUAAGCCCAUCAAUUUUACCGUUUGGCAAUCAAUUUUAUUGAUUCGGCCGUCGAUCUCACUAUUUUAGCUGCCAAUUUCUGCUAAUAGUUUUAUUUUUUUCCGUUUAUUUUUGUAUCAAGUUUUGUUAAUUUUCUAUUCAAUUAAGUCUGUGUUUAUUUAAAUUUUGACAUUUUUAGUUUUUGUUCUGCUAAUAUUAACCUAAAUAUCAAUUAUGGCCUCGAUAAGUAGCCAAGGAAUCUAAAACAGCUGGUAAAGCUAUUGGGAUCGACGUCGACAAAAUUAUAUUUGAUAGAAUCAAAUGCAACUAUGCCACAAACGUUUCAGAGCACACAUUUCAUACAAGAAACUCUGCAUCUCCAAGAUCCAAUGGUAACCCUGAUUAACGAUGCAUUUGGUUUCAUGGGGAACAAUGUCAAUGAGCCUGGUGUGUCUUGUGAUCCUAUGAAUAGUGAAGAAAUAUUUGAUGAAGAAUAUGCCUAAUAAAGAAUAUGCAAAGUUCUAUAAACUGGUCGAAGAUGGCAAUCAACCAUUAUACGAAGGGUGCACGAAGUAUUCCAAAUAGUCAUUUCUAGUCAAAUUGUAUCAUAUCAAGUGUUUGUGCCGAAUGACUGACAAAGCGAUGAGUAUGAUAUUAGAAUUGUUAAAAGAUGUCUUUGAAGAUGCCAAGAUUCCUGUUUCUAUUUAUGAGGCCAA